UUCUAAAAUGGCAGAAAGAUGUAUAGGAUUUAAGCUCCUACAAGGAAGGCACUCUUCUUUUAGAAA
rnacentral:tRNA from 1 species